rnacentral:lncRNA from 1 species
CUGAGCCAGUCGUUCCUGUCGGAAGGGCGGGCCUGCUCAUCCUGGCGAGAAUUUGCUUUUCUGCUUUAUAGGGGAUUGCAGGCCAGGCCCACUGACAGGAGCACCUUGAGAACCACCUGAACAGAAGAGAAUGAGGGUGCCCCAAAGUGGAAGGAAGCUUCUGGCCCCUGGGCCGUUUUGGGAAGGGCCCAGGAUACUCACGGGGGCUGAAGGGCAAUGUGAAGAGUGACUGCAAGUCCUGGCAUUUUCUGUGGUGUCAGCAAAUGCCCCUUUAUUUUAAAUGAUUCCAGACAUCUGGGCAGCAUAGCUUGGCCACCAUCACUCAGGCUUGAUCCUGCUGUUGAGCUGCUCCUGUCUCCUGUUUACCUCACUCCUGUUGGGAAGGCCAUCGCAUGCUCCUAGGCUCCAGAGUCCCCUGUAGGUCUCUACCAGCAGGUCGCCUCUGGGAGAACGUUUCAUCUUCAGGCUCUAGAAACUCCUGUUGCGGAAUUGCUGGCUUUAGUAGAAAAGAUAUGUCAGGAUUUAGAAAUCGUAUUGAACUCUCCUGGACUUCUGCUCCAUGAUUUCAUUUUGCUUUCACGAACCAGCGAUCCCUACCUUGGGGUGGGAAAUUCAAUUGUAGGCAGCAAAUAACUCAACCCUCCUGUAACCCCUGAGGAUUAUAACGACCCCAUGACCCCCGAUGACAGCCAGCAGUUUGGUGACUAGAGUUUUUUGAGCCUGCCAUUCUCAGUAGCAGCUUUGGUCUGGAGAUGGAACGUGGAGCAGGGAAUCUGACAGCCACGUUUCUCGUGAUCACGUGGACUGGAGUUGUUUUUGUUAUCUGGGGUGGAAAAUUGCAAUGAUCAAGUUUCUUUUUUAUUUUUUUUUUACUUAGAAAAGCAAAUAUUGUGUUUUUGUAAUAAAUCCCUUUCAGCAAAAUUGCGGAGGAUCAUUCAUCCACUAGGGCCCCACCUGAGGCACAGCGCUGACUCAUCACGGUGGUACCAGUAGGUCAGCCAUCUGGAAACAGAAGUGGCCCUAAUUGGGCCAAAAUGUGGUAAGACUCGCUGGCCUCAGGCAGGGCCAGGCCAGUUCCCUCACUUCUCUGCACACCUAUUCCCAGAUUCCAUCCAGAGCAAAGCUGAUGUUUAUCGUCUCAUUGUACUUAGGCUUUCGUACUUUAAAAAAUUAUGACUUUUUAAAAAUAAGCCUUCAGCAGACAGAAGUGAAGAAAUUUAGCCUGGGUUGCCUCAGCAACAAAGUCUGCGGUUCCUAAGAGCCACAUGUUGGGGAAGUGGGGUGACCCAAACUUGGUGACAUAGGUUGAUUGAUCAGACCCUCAGCCUUACAAGCAAGAGCUCAUGCAGAUCCACAGAGCCAUGCACAUCCUGUCUUCCUGACCUUCCUCAGGUGGCACCACCUGCGCCCCAUGGACCUGCUGUAUCGGUGUCAUGUGGAGGUCUGAUGAAUCCUUUAAAACCUAACUGUGAUGUCGUAAAUGUAACUGUGCUACCUUUAUAUCUACUGAAGGGCAGCGUCUGCAUCCGAGGGAAAUUCAACAUGAAACAACCAUCGUUUUAGUUGCACUCAGUCUGUCCAUAUGACAUACACAUGAAGUGAAUGUUUCCUUAUGUUUUCAGGUCUACAAUGUUUAGUACAUGUAAAUAAGGAAAAAAUUUGAUAAAUAUGGUAAAUUAAGUUAUAGCGUGUCAUUUGAUUCUUAUUUUGCUGUCUCUUGUUAUUUAAUUUUCCUAAUGCUCCACAUCUAGGUUCCUUCCUAGGUGGUGGGAACACCUUGCAGACGUGUGUGCACCAGGACACACCGCGGCCCAGGCAGCCACACCGAGAAAGCACACAUCUCCACUGAUGGCAGCCACCCGACUCUCCAGUUAACCUCUUUUACUCUUUAAUUCUGAUUUACUGUGAUGAUUUAAUAAAGUGGAAACACAGC